rnacentral:lncRNA from 1 species
UAAUUUCAACAUAACAAAUAUAUUGUCAAAAUAUUUCAAUGCUAAAUUUAAUAAAUUAAUUUGGUGUUUUAGAUGCUACUAAGUUUUCUAUAAGUUUUGUCAAACUUAAAAAGUUUAAUUAGGAAAAAAAAUAAAAUAACUUAUAAUAUGAAAUGGAGCAAGUAUACUACGAUGACAGAGUCUAAGUUGUUUGACCGAUUUUAUUCCCUAUAAGAUAUACGGCAAAACUCAUGCCCUUCUGGUUUCAAAAAAUACAAUGAGAUGUCGCGUACAGCUAAAUUGAUUUUUUUUUCACUGAACUGAUAAUGAUCGAAAUGUUUUUCUUUUAUGAUAUAACGAGUUUAAGUUGAACUGACCUAUCAUUCUGCAGAGCUACCUGCCAGAUAAGACGCCAGAGGC